rnacentral:rRNA from 1 species
CACGUAGGGUGCGAGCGUUGUCCGGAAUCAUUGGGCGUAAAGAGCGCGUAGGCGGCCCUGUAAGUCCGCUGUGAAAGUCAAGGGCUCAACCCUUGAAUGCCGGUGGAUACUGCAGGGCUAGAGUCCGGAAGAGGCGAGUGGAAUUCCUGGUGUAGCGGUGAAAUGCGCAGAUAUCAGGAGGAACACCGAUGGCGAAGGCAGCUCGCUGGGACGGUACUGACGCUGAGGAGCGAAAGCGUGGGGAGCGAACAGG